rnacentral:hammerhead_ribozyme from 1 species
AUCCAGCUGAUGAGUACCAAAUAGGAUGAAACGCACAUCCUGGAU